rnacentral:rRNA from 1 species
GACGAACGCUGGCGGCGUGCCUAACACAUGCAAGUGGAGCGACGAACCAGACUUCGGUCUGGGGCAAAGCCGCGAACGGGUGAGUAACACGUGGGUAACCUGCCCCGAUGAUUGGGACAACCCGAGGAAACUCGGGCUAAUACCGAAUGUGUCCUCUGACCUCAAGGUCUGAGGGGAAAGGAAGCUUCGGCCUCCGCAUCGGGAUGGGCCCGCGGCCCAUUAGCUUGUUGGUGAGGUAAAGGCUCACCAAGGCUGCGAUGGGUAGCUGGUCUGAGAG